ACCCAAGUGACGAGUUCCAAAUAGGACGAAACGCUCGUCCUUGAU
rnacentral:hammerhead_ribozyme from 1 species